rnacentral:rRNA from 1 species
GAUGAACGCUAGCUACAGGCUUAACACAUGCAAGUCGAGGGACCGGCGCGCGGGUGAGUAACACGUAUCCAACCUUCCCUUUACUCGGGGAUAGCCUUUCGAAAGAAAGAUUAAUACCCGAUAGAAAGGAGGGGGAUGCGUUCCAUUAGGUGGUUGGUGAGGUAACGGCCCACCAAGCCUUCGAUGGAUAGGGGUUCUGAGAGGAAGGUCCACCAGAUUGGAACUGAGACACGGUCCAAACUCCGACGGGAGGCAGCAGUGUGGAACAUUGUUCAAUGGGCGUUAGCCUGACCCAGCCAAGUAGCGUGAAGGAUCCAGGCUUAUGGGUCUUAAACUUCUUGUAUAUAAGAAGAUGUAUUAUAUGAAUAAGGAUCGGCUAACUCCGUGCCAGCCGCCGCGGUAAUUC